GUUCAACCUGGCUCCUGCAGAAGAGAGAGAGGUAGUCAGUGUGAGGGCCCGAGCUCAGGCCAAGGAGUGGGCAGAGCACAGAUUGCCUGAUAAGUCUUGGCCUAGUGGAGCCUGGGCAGGGCAGCUCUGGCUGGAGAGCCGAGAGGAGAAUCUGAUUUCCAUGCUCUUAGUGCAGAAUGGGGGGUGGGGGGAGGGGCAGGCUCAGGAAUCAUUCAAUGUGCUUGCCAAUUGAUUAUAACCUGCGCGUGGCACAGAGGGUGGCACCCAGGUGACAAGGCGGUACUGGAGCAGGACCCAGAGUCCUCCUGUGGGUAUCACAGAAGCCUGGCCACCCCACACUCCACCUAGGCUGCUCCUCCUGCCUCUGUGGUAGCUGGGACCAUCCUGCAAGCCCGUCCUAGCUGUCUGCUCAGAUGGUCCCCCACGCCAGCGCACUGGCCUCCUUCCUGGGGCCUUCCAAGGCUCCUUCCCCUCCCCAGAUCCCUUGUUAAGGGCUGAUUGGAGAGGGACAAGAAAGAGGGCAGGGGAAUGUCCCUCCGACCGCUGUCCCUGCAAGGGGAGAAGUGUUUUAUCAUGAACAUUAUUUAGAAUCGCCUACACAAGGUGACAGUAAAAAGCAGACUGGCUUGCCAUUGGUUUUAUCACUGCAUUUAAGUUCUCUGUCUACAAUGCGCCACAUUGUUGCCCAUGCCACUGCCAUCGCCCCCACCUUGGGCAGGUGACUGGCUGGGGCUCCCCAUUCGGGCAGUGAAGAGACCCUGCUCCCCUCGCUCUGUCCCCGCUUCUGGCUCCCCCUACCGUCCCUGGGCCUUUGCCCUCCCUCCAAGGCCCUGGGGCUGAUUUCCCUGCAGCCGAGUCCAAGCCUCUCACCAGGAUUCACUGCAGACCCCGUGUCACCCCUUAGCCCGUCCACCUGGUGGAGAGCAGGUAACAUUGCUGACAACCAAGGGCGAACCCUGCCGCGCUCAGAGCCCGCCAGUCUAGCUUAGAAUGCAUACUUGUUCCUUGCAGGCCAGGCUGAAAUUUGCCACCCAAGAGCAGCCACUCAGCCAGUGUCAGAGACCCUCGCACACUUCCAGCACAUUCCACUUUCCAAAUCACUUCUCAGAGCUCAUCUCAGCAACCCAGGAACCCCAUGAAGCUGCAUGGAUGUUAUUACCCUUACUUGUCAGAUGACGAAACUGAGGUCCCGAGAGAGCAAGUGAUGUGGAAAGUGAGGGACCUGCAUGGACUCUAGAGUCUGGGUCUUUCCGCUCCCGGGGACUGUGCUCUGUCCCCUGUAGCGCCUGGCACACAGUCGCUGCUCAGUACAGGGCAGCUGUUAUUACUCUUUUAUACUUCGUGGCCAAUCAAGUCUUUAUGCUUAAGACCGCUUCGGCAUUUUAACAGUUCCUAUUAGCUGGGCGCCUGGAUGGCUCAGUCGUUAAGUGUCUGCCUUCGGCUCAGGUCAUGAUCCCGGGGUCCGGGGAUCGAGACCCGCAUCGGACUCCCUGCUCCGCGGGAAGCCUGCUUCUCCCUCUCCCACUCCCCCUGCUUGUGUUCCCUCUCUCGCUGUGUCUCUCUCUGUCAAAUAAAUAAAAUCUUAAAAAAAACAAAACAAAAAAGUUCCUGUUAGCUUUUAGGACUAUGUCUUUCUUACCUGCUUAUUAAAGCUGGUCCAAUAAGACCUCUACUUGCUCACACUUUCAUAGCUCCUUAUGUUUUCCUCUCUCUGGGCCUCAAGUUUGUCAUCUAUAUCAUUGGAUAUAAUGAUAUUUACUCAGGAAUGUAUGAUUAGAGAUCAUUAGCACCUUGUCCCAGGAUAUUACUAUGCAAUAUUACCAUUAUUUUUCUAUUGACUUAGAAGUAAAGUUACACAUAUUCGGACUAUUUUUAUUCUGACAUGUCAUCCCGAUCCAGAAGCUUCUUAAUGUGUUUAGCACCUUGAGCUACCUGGGGACCUGCAUCUCUCAGCAGAGGACACAGUGCCAUAAGCAAACUCUCCGUCAGUCCCUCUGGAUGGCUCUGAGCAUCACAGUGGACAGACAUGACACAGAGCCAGAUGGACACAGCUGGCUGCCAUCAGUGGGACCUUAGCGUUGGCAGAGCUAGGCAAGGCCUCAAGAAGUACGCAGAAUCCAAGGAUGGCAUUAAAAUACGUCUAAUACUUGGUGGCUGGCCGAAGAGGAAAUAAAAACUGCCCGCUUCAGAAUAGAAUCAAGCAGGAAUUCGAAUAGAUGAAUCCUAUCAGGUAGUGAACAUCCUGAAGGGGUGACAGAGCUGAGGUAGGAAACACAAAAGGGGGCAGAGCUUAACUUGAUCUUGGGAGCUUGCACUGCAAGACCUACCUCACUGGCAGGACAUGGACUCGGCGUCCCUGCCUGGCAUGGAGAUGAAACAGGGGAGAGCCCCACGGCGUGGGCAAAAUGCACUUCCCUGGAUGUUUGAGGCCUUAGCUCCCAUGCCUUGCCCCAUAUUUCUGUUGAAUGAGCCUCUCAACCACCUGUGAGCUAACUAACCCCAAAUUUGCUUGGAUGAAUAACCCUCGAUCGCUUUCGCUAGUGAACCUGUUUCCUUAGUAAGUGUCCUUCCUUACUCAUGGGAAGGUUUAGAAUGAAGACUGGAAAUGAUAAAAUCAAGUCUACAAUAUUACCCUUUUUUGGUAUUAAGUUAAGGAAAUGUCUGUGUAGAUUUAUUUUGAAAAUAUUUGUGAUGUUUAAAAUAAUUUGGCGUAUUAGGAUAUCUAACAGAUGAGCUUUGUGAUUCCAAUAUAAAAUGUAUAAUGGAAUAAUUAGAUUUGUGAUUUUAAGUUGAAAGAUAUAGGACAAUUUUAUAAAUUUUGAAAACAACGAUGGAACUUUUAUGGUAACCCAAUAAUUAUAUUUUAAAGCUUAGUUUAUUUUAAAUUAUUUAUAAUUUAAUUUAAAUUAUUUAGGGGAACUGAAUUAAUUAGGUUACAAAAUCCUCCUUACAAGAGAUUGUUGAACUUUCCUAGAUUUUUGAAGUGUUACUUUUUUUUUUUUUAAAUUUAUUUAUUUGACAGAGAGAUAGCAAGAGCAGGAACACAAGCAGGGGGAGUGGGAGAGGGAGAAGCAGGCUUCCUGCCGAGCAGGGAGCCCGAUGUGGGACUCGAUCCCAGGACCCUGGGAUCAUGACCUGAGCCGAAGGCAGACGCUUAACGACUGAGCCACCCAGGCGCCCCUGAAGUGUUACUUUUAUAAAUUAAGCAUUCAUUUUUAAAACCAAAGCAGCUUUGGGGCACCUCGCUACCUCAGUCGGUGGAGUGUGGAGUGUGCGACUCUUCAUCUCAGGGUUGUGAGUUUGAGCCCCACACUGGGUGUAGAGAUUACUUAAAAUAAAAUCUUUAAAAAAAUAAUUAAAAAAACAAAAACAAAAACAAAAGCAGCCUCAGCUGGUUUUCCUAUGAACAGAACCACCCUCGAGGGCAACUCGAAACUCACACUGACCCUGACUGGCCAUCACUUGGUUCCACGGUGCCCUGCCAGUGUCCCCAUCUGUAAAAACGCCCCUCCAUUCCCGGGAAGGCAGGCAGAAGCCGGACGCACAGUGCCUUCUGUGUGAGUCAGACGAAGCCGAGCCCUCUGGGUGGAAGCCGGUUGGCGAGUGGAGACGGGCUGCCUUCAGCUCCGCUCAGCCCACAGGCCAGCUGUCCUUGGGCACAGCCUACCUGCACAACCACAUCUGCAGCCCCGAGCCAGCUGCAGACCUUCUCGGGCCAGCACAUAUCACAGGAGCCUCAGCCUCCCAGCCUGCGAACCCUCUCGUAAACGAGAAUAACCUGUUGAGUUUAUCUUGGCUUCUGUGCUGCGUAUCGCCUGCAAGAUCGUGGGCAAUUACUCAACCAUGAUAGACCUCAGUUUCCCCGCAUAUAAAAUGGGGAGAACAAUACAAAAUUCAGGAACCGUAACAACAGAGGAUCAGAUGAUCCUGUUGGGCAGGGAUGGGAAAUCACAAUUCUUGACAUUUGUAGAGUGCAUCAGACGGUGACGUCCGUUCCCAUUAAGUGCAGUAACAGCUUCUCACAGAUGCUCACAUACACCUUCCUGCAACCCACCGGACCCUCACGGCAGCCCCGGAUGAAGGCAGGGAGAGGGGCAGCGAGCGCUGCACACUCACCCUCCGUGCGCUGCCCUCUGGCCAGCCUGUGCUGUUUUGUGCACCCCCAGUGCUUUGUUGCUUUGUUCCUGCUGCCUGGACUGCCCCCUUUCACCCGCUUUGCCCUGUCUGUCCUUGGCGGAUCCGCCUGCUCAGGCCCCGAAUGAGGGUCCUGGUGGCAUCUCCCCGAAUGAGCUUUCCCUUGCUGUACCACCAUACAGUCUCUCCCACGCUCACACAUGCCCCCAUUAAUGUCAGUUCCGCCCCCUGCCCGGCACCCCUUCGAUCGUGAGCUCAUCCUCCCGGCCUGCGGCCCCAGGGCCCAGCACAGAGCCGGCAACAAAGAAGAUCAAAUGGAAAGAUUUACAAAUUAUUAUUGCUGAGACCUGCUUUAUCAUCUAACCCAUGGUCCCAGCCAGAACCCCAGAGUCAUCCCUGAUGUCUCCCUCUUCCUUAAAACCUUCAUCCAACCCAUCAGGAACCACUUGUUCUAGCUCCUAACAUUUCUCUCUUCAGUAUUCCCACGUCCUUCCCUCCUUCCCUGCCCCCCACCACCCCGUGCCACCAUCUCUGUGGACCAUUGUCACAGCCCCCUAACUGGUAGCCUCACCUCCUCCUCCAAUCCAUUCUUCAAACAGAAAUCAGAAUACCUUUCCAAAAAGCAACCCCCUUCCCUGCUUACAACUCUUCAUGGCUUCUUGCACUCAGAAUAAAGAGUAAAGCCUGUCACAUGGCCCCACCUAGCUGACAAGCCUGCUCCCGCUGCCUUCCUGGCUCUCUGUCCCCUCCAGCCUCCCAGGACUUCGCUCUGCUCCUCAGUAUGCCCUGCUCCUUUCCAUUUCUGGCUUUGCAUGUGCUCUUGUCUCCUCCCGGAACAUUCUCUUGCUCCCUCUUGCCCUGGUUAAUGUGACUCAUCUUCCAUCUCUCAGCUCACUGGAGCACUUUCCCAGGGAAGCCUUCCCUGACCCCACCCAUGUGACCAGGUCGCCUGCUGCAGGCUCUCCUAGUCCUUGGCCCUCCCCCACCCCUUAACACAGCUCAUGACUUGCAUUCUUCUAGAUUAAUGUUUCCCCUACUGGAUUGAAGCAUUCAGAGGGCAGAACCAGGCUGCCUUUGCCUAUCACUGUAUUGUCUGUACCUAAAAUAAAGGAAAGGACCCAACUAAAUACUUGUCGAAUGAAUGAAUAGAUGAGAGCCUUCCUGUGCCAGGCUCUGUCCUAUUUGCAAAAUUUAAUGUUCCAAGGUUACAUGAGACAUCCUAAGUCUUAGGAACUUAAUUUUCUGCCCUUCUUCCUGUUACCAUGGAGACAGGCAAUGCCUCCUGGGUAUACACACACUAUGCUUUAUCAGAGUCUGGAAGCAGGAUUAUGGAGCCCUGCCCAAGACUAUCUGGAAAAAGGGCUGCCUUCCCUCCUGCUGGUUCCUGCUCUUGCACACAAUUCUAAUUCCAUCAUCCACCCAUGUGGUUUUCUUUUUUUUUUCCUCCCUAGACUGUUUCCUGCUGCACCAUCAAAGCAGCCCAGAGCUGGGGCGGUGCUCAUGUAGGAGGGCCCUGUCCAUGAAUCCCCUGCCUCCACAGCUUGGAAAAGCCCUGGGGAAGAAAGAAACUCCUAUUUCCUGAGCAGGAACCAUGUGCCAGGCUUGGGGCCAGAAUCUGCAGGAGACAAGGCAUUCUCAAAACGAGAGCUCCCGCGCCUGCCUCUCUCCCGCCCAGACUCCAGGCAGCCUCUGUUUUAGCAAGGACCGUGGUGUUUGGUGGUGACCUGCCUCUCCUGCUGUGGCCCAUGGACUGUUUCGUUCAUCUUCUCAUCGCCAGUAUCUGGGGUUGGACUCAUAGUAGCACCUGCAGAGAUUUGUGUAACGAAUUGCUGUUCUUCUCAGUUGCACGCCCUGAGAUAGAAAGGAAGAGGACGGUGGGCCUGGCCGAACGCCUCAUUUCUAGGAGUCCUGUUCUCUUUAACAAAUGUGGCCCACAAAGCACACGCUCAACGAGUUUGCAAAAGACUUCUCC